UAGGGAAUCUUCCGCAAUGGGCGAAAGCCUGACGGAGCAACGCCGCGUGAGUGAUGAAGGUCUUCGGAUCGUAAAACUCUGUUAUUAGGGAAGAACAAAUGUGUAAGUAACUAUGCACGUCUUGACGGUACCUAAUCAGAAAGCCACGGCUAACUACGUGCCAGCAGCCGCGGUAAUACGUAGGUGGCAAGCGUUAUCCGGAAUUAUUGGGCGUAAAGCGCGCGUAGGCGGUUUUUUAAGUCUGAUGUGAAAGCCCACGGCUCAACCGUGGAGGGUCAUUGGAAACUGGAAAACUUGAGUGCAGAAGAGGAAAGUGGAAUUCCAUGUGUAGCGGUGAAAUGCGCAGAGAUAUGGAGGAACACCAGUGGCGAAGGCGACUUUCUGGUCUGUAACUGACGCUGAUAUGCGAAAGCGUGGGGAUCAAACAGG
rnacentral:rRNA from 1 species